GACGAACGCUGGCGGCGUGCUUAACACAUGCAAGUCGAAGGGAAAGUCCUCGUUCGGGGGGUACUCGAGAGGCGAACGGGUGAGUGACACGUGAGUAACCUGCUCUCGACUGUGGGAUAACUUCAGGAAACUGGGGCUAAUACCGGGUAGAGGCUCCUGCUGCUUGGAGGGGGUUGGAAAGUUUCGGCGGUUUGGGAUGGACUCGCGGCUGAUCAGCUUGUUGGUGGGGUAGUGGCUUACCAAGGCUUUGCCGGGUAGCCGGCCUGGGAGGGUGACCGGCAACAGUCAGACUGGGACACGGCCCAGACUCCUACGGGUGGCAGCAGCAGGGAAUGUUGCACAAUGGGUGGAAGCCUGAUGCUGCCACGGCGUGUGCGCGAUGACGGUCUUCGGGUUGUGAUUCGAUUUCGCUCAUGACGAAGCUUUGUGUGACGGUAGUGGGUAAAGAAGCACCGGCUAACUACGUG
rnacentral:rRNA from 1 species